UAUUAGCUUUUAUUUACUGACAUGAUCUCUUGUGUUUUGUUGUAAAUCAGAUGCAUUCACUUUUUUUUUUUUAUCAUUACAGCACCAGACGGACAGUCUCCUUCACGCUCAGUCUCUCUCAUAGCGUUGAUCUCUGUUGGAUCUCUGUUGAUUUUAGUUGGAGUCGGGAUCUUCUGCAUCUGCAGGAAAUAUAGAAAAACUGAUCAAGUGUUACCUACUGGAAAUAUUGUUGAUGUUGAUGAUGCAACAGUUCAGACUCAUGAUGAAGAGAUCAUUUACGCUGAUCCGACAUUUUACAAAAGAAAUUCACAAAAAAUGGUGGCUAAAGAGGAGAAUCACACUGAGUAUGCGCCUGUCUGCAUAAGAUGAAGAAACUAUCUUUAAUCUUUUCCUGAGUACAAGUCUCUUUCACUACACAUUUGGAUUCAUUAUGUGAUUUCUGAUCUUUAGAAGCUGUGGACAAGUUUAGAGAUUGUUGAGAAUCCAUGCAGACAUACAGUGGGGAUCGAAAG